AUUGAACGCUGGCGGAAUGCUUUACACAUGCAAGUCGAACGGCAGCACGGAUUUCGGCCUGGUGGCGAGUGGCGAACGGGUGAGUAACAUAUCGGAACGUGUCCAAUAAUGGGGGAUAACUAAUCGAAAGGUUGGCUAAUACCGCAUACGCCCUACGGGGGAAAGCUAGGGACCUUCGGGCCUGGCGUUAAUGGAGCGGCCGAUAUCUGAUUAGCUAGUUGGUGGGGUAAAGGCCCACCAAGGCGACGAUCAGUAGCUGGUCUGAGAGGACGACCAGCCACACUGGAACUGAGACACGGUCCAGACUCCUACGGGAGGCAGCAGUGGGGAAUUUUGGACAAUGGGCGCAAGCCUGAUCCAGCCAUUCCGCGUGAGUGAAGAAGGCCUUCGGGUUGUAAAGCUCUUUCGCAAGGGAAGAAAACUUAGCCUCUAACAUAGGCUGAGGUUGACGGUACCUUGAUAAGAAGCACCGGCUAACUACGUGCCAGCCGCCGCAGUAA
rnacentral:rRNA from 1 species